ACGAACGCUGGCGGCGUGCUUAACACAUGCCAGUCGAACGCUGAAGCUCAGCUUUUGUUGGGUGGAUGAGUGGCGAACGGGUGAGUAACACGUGAGUAACCUGCCCCCUUCUUUGGGAUAACGCCCGGAAACGGGUGCUAAUACUGGAUAUUCACUGGUCUUCGCAUGGGGGUUGGUGGAAAGGGUUUUUCUGGUGGGGGAUGGGCUCGCGGCCUAUCAGCUUGUUGGUGGGGUGAUGGCCUACCAAGGCUUUGACGGGUAGCCGGCCUGAGAGGGUGACCGGUCACAUUGGGACUGAGAUACGGCCCAGACUCCUACGGGAGGCAGCAGUGGGGAAUAUUGCACAAUGGGCGCAAGCCUGAUGCAGCGACGCCGCGGGAGGGAUGGAGGCCGUCGGGUUGUGAACCUCUUUCGCUCAUGGUCAAGCCGCAACAAUGGUUGUGGUGAGGGUAGUGGGUAAAGAAGCGCCGGCUAACUACGUG
rnacentral:rRNA from 1 species